rnacentral:rRNA from 1 species
AUGAGAGUGCAUCGUUCAGAGAACUUUCAUUGGUGCCAUACUGCCAUGGUGUACCAUAGGACAGACCUGCUGCUGAGUGUGGAAGAAAUAGCAAGCAAUAAAAAGACCAUGAACUGUAAGUUAGCAAUCCUAACAUUUACAUUUAUACUUAAAUUAGCUAGGUUUGCAAACUGCGAUCCAGGAGGAGGCACCCAUAUCUCAAAACCAAUAGGGCAUUUGUGUUCGAACAUGAAACAAGUUGACAAUAAAUGGAUAUUUUGGAACAUGAGCAGAAAACAACAGUCCGAUUUACCAGCUUUAAAGACUGGAACAAUGGCAGGGAGUAUCGUUUUUCUUCCCCAGUUCAGCACCAGCGGUAAACCCCUAAAAAUAAUACCCAUGACAGUAGGGAAUCAACAGCAAGACAGUGCAUGCAUGAGAUUGAAAAAGAAGAUUUUACACAAGGCGUUGCUAGUGACAAUUAUGUUUUGA